AUUGUAUCCACGAUUGGGGAAUUUUCCGCAAUGGGCGAAAGCCUGACGGAGCAAGACCGCGUGAGGGAGGAAGGCUCUUGGGUCGUAAACCUCUUUUGUCAGGGAAGAACACAAUGACGGUACCUGACGAAUCAGCAUCGGCUAACUCCGUGCCAGCAGCCGCGGUAAUACGGAGGAUGCAAGCGUUAUCCGGAAUUAUUGGGCGUAAAGCGUCCGUAGAUGGUUUUGCCAGUCGGCUGUCAAAGCACAGGGCUUAACCCUGUAAAGGCAGUGGAAACUACAAGACUGGAGUGCAGUAGGGGCAGAGGGAAUUGAAAUGCGUAGAGAUUGGGAAGAACACCCGUGGCGAAAGCGCUCUGCUGGACUGCCACUGACAUUGAGGGACGAAAGCUAGGGGAGCGAAUGGGAUUAGAUACCCCAGUAGUCAAUCGUGGAUACAAU
rnacentral:rRNA from 1 species